rnacentral:rRNA from 1 species
AUUGAACGCUAGCGGGAUGCUUUACACAUGCAAGUCGAACGGCAGCGCGGACUUCGGUCUGGCGGCGAGUGGCGAACGGGUGAGUAAUGUAUCGGAACGUGCCCAGUAGCGGGGGAUAACUACGCGAAAGCGUAGCUAAUACCGCAUACGCCCUACGGGGGAAAGCAGGGGAUCGUAAGACCUUGCACUAUUGGAGCGGCCGAUAUCGGAUUAGCUAGUUGGUGAGGUAACGGCUCACCAAGGCGACGAUCCGUAGCUGGUUUGAGAGGACGACCAGCCACACUGGGACUGAGACACGGCCCAGACUCCUACGGGAGGCAGCAGUGGGGAAUUUUGGACAAUGGGGGCAACCCUGAUCCAGCCAUCCCGCGUGUGCGAUGAAGGCCUUCGGGUUGUAAAGCACUUUUGGCAGGAAAGAAACGUCGCGGGCUAAUACCCCGUGGAACUGACGGUACCUGCAGAAUAAGCACCGGCUAGCUACGUG